rnacentral:rRNA from 1 species
AUUGAACGCUGGCGGCAGGCUUAACACAUGCAAGUCGAGCGGAGUGAUGGUGCUUGCACUAUCACUUAGCGGCGGACGGGUGAGUAAUGCUUAGGAAUCUGCCUAUUAGUGGGGGACAACAUCUCGAAAGGGAUGCUAAUACCGCAUACGUCCUACGGGAGAAAGCAGGGGAUCACUUGUGACCUUGCGCUAAUAGAUGAGCCUAAGGCGGAUUAGCUAGUUGGUGGGGUAAAGGCCUACCACGGCGACGAUCUGUAGCGGGUCUGAGAGGAUGAUACGCCACACUGGGACUGAGACACGGCCGAGACUCCUACGGGAGGCAGCAGUGGGGAAUAUUGGACAAUGGGGGGAACCCUGAUCCAGCCAUGCCGCGUGUGUGAAGAAGGCCUUAUGGUUGUAAAGCACUUUAAGCGAGGAGGAGGCUCUUUUGGUUAAUACCCAAGAUGAGUGGACGUUACUCGCAGAAUAAGCACCGGCUAACUCUGUGCCAGCAGCCGCCGUAA